CAGUAUUGACGCCACCGUUCAUUCCGGCAGGCCCUUGUAUUGACGAAGUUGCCAACUGUAACCAAUAUGGGGUAACAAUAUGUCACGGAUCUUACAAGCCAUGGGCAUCGGCAAACUGUGCACAUUACUGUGAAUUCUGCCACGAGUCACCUGGUGCCACUUUACCCACAUUUGCACCCGUAAUUGGAAAGUAGAAAAUUCAGUAAAGUCGAAAAGAGUUG